GACGAACGCUGGCGGCGUGCUUAACACAUGCAAGUCGAACGAAGUGGCGAACGGGUGAGUAACGCGUAAUCAACCUGCCCUUCAGAGGGGGACAACAGUUGGAAACGACUGCUAAUACCGCAUACUGAAGGCGGGGAUUGCGUCUGAUUAGCUAGUUGGAGGGUUAACGGCCCACCAAGGCGAUGAUCAGUAUCCGGUCUGAGAGGAGGAACGGCCACAGUGGGAAUGAGACACGGCCCAGACUCCGACGGGAGGCAACAGGGGGGAAUCUGCCGAAAUGGACGAAAGUCUGACGGAGCAACGCGGCGGGAGUGAUGACGGCCUUCGGGUGGUAAAGCUCUGUUAAGCGGGACGCGGUACCGGAAUAGAAAGCCACGGCUAACUACGUGCCAGCAGCCGCGGUAAUAC
rnacentral:rRNA from 1 species